rnacentral:rRNA from 1 species
UACGGAGGGUGCAAGCGUUGUCCGGAUUUAUUGGGUUUAAAGGGUGCGUAGGCGGUCUUUUAAGUCAGUGGUGAAAUCCUCCAGCUCAACUGGAGAACUGCCAUUGAUACUGGAAGACUUGAGUAUAGUUGAGGUAGGCGGAAUGGACGGUGUAGCGGUGAAAUGCUUAGAUAUCGUCCAGAACACCGAUAGCGAAGGCAGCUUACUAAGGAGUAACUGACGCUGAGGCACGAAAGUGUGGGGGAUCAAACAGG